rnacentral:rRNA from 1 species
GAACGAACGCUGGCGGCAUGCCUACCCCAUGCAAGUCGAACGAUUGCCUUCGGGUGAUAGUGGCGCACGGGUGCGUAACGCGUGGGAAUCUGCCCUUAGGUUCGGAAUAACAGCUGGAAACGGCUGCUAAUACCGGAUGAUAUCGCGAGAUCAAAGAUUUAUCGCCUGAGGAUGAGCCCGCGUUGGAUUAGGUAGUUGGUGGGGUAAAGGCCUACCAAGCCGACGAUCCAUAGCUGGUCUGAGAGGAUGAUCAGCCACACUGGGACUGAGACACGGCCCAGACUCCUACGGGAGGCAGCAGUGGGGAAUAUUGGACAAUGGGCGCAAGCCUGAUCCAGCAAUGCCGCGUGAGUGAUGAAGGCCCUAGGGUUGUAAAGCUCUUUUACCCGGGAAGAUAAUGACUGUACCGGGAGAAUAAGCCCCGGCUAACUCCGUG